GAUGAACGCUGGCGGCGUGCCUAAUACAUGCAAGUCGAGCGAACAGACGAGGAGCUUGCUCCUCUGACGUUAGCGGCGGACGGGUGAGUUACACGUGGAUAACCUACCUAUAAGACUGGGAUAACUUCGGGAAACCGGAGCUAAUACCGGAUAAUAUAUUGAACCGCAUGGUUCAAUAGUGAAAGACGGUUUUGCUGUCACUUAUAGAUGGAUCCGCGCCGCAUUAGCUAGUUGGUAAGGUAACGGCUUACCAAGGCAACGAUGCGUAGCCGACCUGAGAGGGUGAUCGGCCACACUGGAACUGAGACACGGUCCAGACUCCUACGGGAGGCAGCAGUAGGGAAUCUUCCGCAAUGGGCGAAAGCUUGACGGAGCAACGCCGCGUGAGUGAUGAAGGUCUUCGGAUCGUAAAACUCUGUUAUUAGGGAAGAACAAAUGUGUAAGUAACUAUGCACGUCUUGACGGUACCUAAUCAGAAAGCCACGGCUAACUACGUG
rnacentral:rRNA from 1 species